rnacentral:lncRNA from 1 species
ACAUCAAAGGCGACAUUAUUUCGUGAGCUCAUGAAGGUGCCUCAGUGCAGCAGCAAUUAAAAAAACAAACACAAAAUUUCAGUUUGAGAUCUCACUCAGUGGAGGAAUCGUCUUCCAUCUUCAUCUGUUUUGUGGUAGGUUUGCAGUUUACUUUUUUACCCCAAAUUCGAGCUCCUGUUUGUAAUUUGCUCCCAACCUGAUCGACAGGAAACUGCUUUGCAGCAAAACCAAAUGCAAGAUAGUGUGACAACGCUUCCUUCUUGAGUGGGAACACUGUCUGCUACGAUUGAGAUGAAUUUAUGGUUGUAGGAUAUUGAGAUUACAAUAAAUUUGUCAUUUUUCUCUGUUUGUGAAGAUGGAAAAUUUAGCAGAUCUUCUCACAGAUGCAUUUUCAGAGACUUCUGUCCCAUCGUUCCACGAUGAAGAUCUGGACUUUGAGAGUCUUGGUUUUAACGAUCAGAGAUGGAGAGAAAAUGCAGAAGACACGACGACAGAUGAAGCUUUGCUCCAGGAAGCAGCUGCUGAGAGCGGAGCUUUGUUAAACGAAGACGUUUUGUUUGUGGCGGAGAGAGCUGACGAAGAGAGGGACAGCGAUGAAUCUCCUGAGGUAAACUUUGAAGAUGAAACACCAGAAAAAGAUUACGAAAGCUCCGAUGAAGAUUCGGAUCAGGAAGGUUCAGCCUCUGGAGAAGAUGAAGAGGUCGGAUCAAGUACAGCAGAGGAACCAGGGGAAUUGUUGAUGGAAGCUCCCUACCUCGGUGGUGAUAAAGAGGACAAGAUCUUCACUGAGGGACGACCUUUAGACCCAGAGGGUGGUGAUAACCCUCAAGUUAGAAACAAAACACACAGUGAGGUUGAAGGUGAGGUGGAUGUGGGCUAUUUUGGUGGCGUCCCCGAACGAAGCAGUGAGAUGAUGAUGAUGAUAGCGAUGAAGGAGGAUGAGCAAGAAAGAGAGUCUGAGGGCAUGAAAGAAAAACAUGCGGAAAGCGCUCCGUCGGAUGGCAGGGAGGAUCCGUGCUCGGAUGGGAAAACCAGCGAGACGUUUCCAGACAUAUCGCUGGAAUGUCUGCAGGAUCUGAUUGAUGAAGUUGAUGGUGAGGAAGAAUGUGUGGAGAAAAUAGCCGAAUUUUCUGGGGAGGAGCACCAGGAGGCAGGUGAGAGCUUUGCAGAUUAUCCCUCGGACUUUUCUUCCUGUGAAUACACAGAAGGAGGGGGAAAUGAUCCUGAGCAGAAGAUGAACGCUGAACCCUCUGCAAGGCAGGAUAUGAAUGUGGAGGAAUCUGCAGCAGGAUCAAAGACUACAGCUGAGGUCUUUGAUGAUGAGAAGGAAGAUGAAGUCCUGUACAGCAUAGAUCUGGAGAUGAAUACGAUGUUGAUCCAGGAUGAGGGACAACAUCAGCUUCUUUUGGCUGCAAGUGGAGGGGAUGAUGGAGACGAGACUGGGGAAAGUGGCUCCUCCAGUUCCAGCGAUGAUGAUGAGAAACUGACUCCAGAGGAAUCCGAAGAGAACAUGAGUUUACACGACGCUAUCAGCGCUGAGCUGACAGGGAACAUUCAGCUUUACGGUGACGGCAUUGCCAUGCUGUCCAGGUGGGGAGCCUCAGAUGACCAUCACUUCACAGAUAACUCAGAUGAAUUCACAAGUUUUGACCUUCUGAAAACUGACAACGUACCUUUUGAAACACCGUUGGGCACACCACCUUCAGAUGUGAACUGCAGUCCAGAUGAAGAUCUGAGCACAACGUCACAAAAUGAGGAGAGAAAAAAGGCAACUCUUUCCAAUCAGGGAUCGAUCGAUGAUGACUUUUUGUUCGAAAAUGAACAAAGUAGCACCUGGAACGAUGAGCAGGGGGAACUAGGAGACGAUGAGGAUGAAAAAGACAGAUGGGAACAAGAACAUGAGAGAAUUGAGGCUUUCUACAAGUUUUACAAUGACAGUGAUGAGGACAAUGCAGGAGGAGGUAAGUGUUUAUGACACAUACAUAUAAAAAUCAGCUGUAUCCUCUGUUUAAUGUAAACAAAUACUCUAACGUUAUGCUUUCAGAGAGGCAAACAAAAGUUCAGUUUUGUUCAAACCCCUUAUCCCAAGUCAUCCACUAUGACAAUGAAAGGUGAGCAGUCGUCUAACAGAAAAAUGUAAAUAUGACUGAAUCAAAUCAGCAAGACUUCUUCCUGUUUUUUUGUUUUCUCAGUAGUGACAGAGAUUCAGACACCAGCUCUUCAAACAGAGAGGAGGAUCUUAACUCUGCAGAAAGAUCAGAGGUAAAUCAUGAUCGUUCAAUUUUAUCACAACAGCAACAACUUUAGAACAGCUGAAGACUGGGAGGUGUAAGGGCACAAAAAGUCAUCAAUGUGCAAAAAUGAAAGGCAGAUGCUGUGCAAAGAGGCAGUUUAUGCAAAAAUGAAAUCUAUAAAAAAAAAGGAGUAUUAUUAAAUAUAUAAGAACAAAUGUGGGUUCAAUUUCCAACGAAGGUACAGAUGGGUUUGAGUGGGGUGUGGCUUGUGGAAACAGAUGAGUCUUCACAGCAGACACCCACAAUAACGCAUAGAUGCUCUUUUAUUUAUUUAUUAAAUCAGGAGCUACUGGAAACAGAAGACAGAUCGCUAAUCACACCUACAUCUGAUCCCCCAACCGAUCAGCAGCCAGAAAGACCAGCAGAUGUCAGCGACGCACCCGCCUGCACAGAACAGCAUGAGGUGCCCUCUUGCAUGUCUUCACUGAAAGUUGCUUCUUAACAGUUCCUCCAGCUCAACCUCGUGACCCUGUCCUCUUUUCUCGCAGAGUCCCCGGCUGCUGAAGCUGGUUCUGAAGAUGGGUGUGAUGAUGGUGAUGGGCCUGCUGAUGUUCUGUCUGACCACAGACCAGGCGGACUGGUUCAGUCAGUUUUUCUUCUUCUAGGACAUCAGCUAAUUUUGUUAUUGAAACUUUUAAAGUGGAAAAUAAAAAUACAUGUUGACAUUGAUGACAUGAGUGGAAGAAAUAAACUUCUUUAAGCUAUUUUGACAUGAGUGAAGAUUAGAUCACUCUGAUUUAAAUAACACUGACUGAUUGAUGUAUAUACAUGACUAAAUUCGUGAGCUUUUUCCUUAAUUUUUUGGUAAGUUUUACUGAUUCUUUUUGUUGUUACAAAAACUGAAUGUUUAUAAAUCUCAAAAUAAAAUACUCUCCUC